GGAGCAGAAAAAGAGGAGGGAAGUAGCAAUUAAGUUAACGCGAGCAUCAUCAGUUUCAAGUCCCGAUAAUGAAAUGAGAAAUAGAGAGAGGGAUUCUAGUUUGUUUUGCAUUGCAUUGCACCCUAGAAAAGAAGCUAUGUUAUGUGAUCUAGUUCAGUAGUCUAGUCUUGUACUAUUAUUAUAGUGUGACAAUUGAUGAAGCAAGAAAGGGACGAAACUCAUAACUAUGGAUAGAUAGAUAGAUGGAUGGUAUCUGUCUAGCUAGCCAGUAAGUUCUAACAAUCAUGCUGCUCUAUCUUGCAUUAUCUUUUUUCUUUUUUUCUUUUUGCUUCCUCUUCUUCUUCUUCUUCUUCUUCUUCUAUCUUGUUCUGCCUCUGCUGCCGAAUAUGUGCUUCACAACCUUUUCUCUUAUUCGCAGUUACCUUGAAUAUAAUACUAAUACGCACCCCUCUCUGACCCGCUUUCGCUGUACUCUUCU
rnacentral:lncRNA from 1 species